GUGCGUAGGCGGCUUUUUAAGUCGGAUGUGAAAUCCCUGAGCUUAACUUAGGAAUUGCAUUCGAUACUGGAAAGCUAGAGUAUGGGAGAGGAUGGUAGAAUUCCAGGUGUAGCGGUGAAAUGCGUAGAGAUCUGGAGGAAUACCGAUGGCGAAGGCAGCCAUCUGGCCUAAUACUGACGCUGAGGUACGAAAGCAUGGGGAGCAAACAGGAUUAGAUACCCUGGUAGUCCAUGCCGUAAACGAUGUCUACUAGCCGUUGGGGCCUUUGAGGCUUUAGUGGCGCAGCUAACGCGAUAAGUAGACCGCCUGGGGAGUACGGUCGCAAGACUAAAACUCAAAUGAAUUGACGGGGGCCCGCACAAGCGGUGGAGCAUGUGGUUUAAUUCGAUGCAACGCGAAGAACCUUACCUGGCCUUGACAUACUAAGAACUUUCCAGAGAUGGAUUGGUGCCUUCGGGAACUUAGAUACAGGUGCUGCAUGGCUGUCGUCAGCUCGUGUCGUGAGAUGUUGGGUUAAGUCCCGCAACGAGCGCAACCCUUUUCCUUAUUUGCCAGCGGGUUAUGCCGGGAACUUUAAGGAUACUGCCAGUGACAAACUGGAGGAAGGCGGGGACGACGUCAAGUCAUCAUGGCCCUUACGGCCAGGGCUACACACGUGCUACAAUGGUCGGUACAAAGGGUUGCUACCUCGCGAGAGGAUGCUAAUCUCAAAAAGCCGAUCGUAGUCCGGAUCGCAGUCUGCAACUCGACUGCGUGAAGUCGGAAUCGCU
rnacentral:rRNA from 1 species